rnacentral:lncRNA from 1 species
AUGUAAACAUACUUUAAUGGAGCAUCAUUGAAUCCUUUAAAACAAUUACAACCUAGAAAUAGUUAAUCACCACAAUUAUGGCUUUGGAUUACCUGUAUUAGAACAAAGAUCUCUGAGAGAUCAAGUAACUCUGGUAAAAAGGGUCCUUGAGCAACUAUGAACUCAUGCAUCAUAAAAUUGAUGAGGAAGCAAAAUUAAAUAUGGUAAACAGAUGAUUUACUGUUAUGCAAAGUCAAAGGAAUACAGGGAUCAUGUAUCUACCAAUAUACAUUUAGGGCUGAGACUCCAAAGAGAGCACUAAUUGUUCUGGUUGCUUCUUGGUUCAGGCAUGGGACCAAAUUGAUAAGGUGUUGUUAUAUCCGAGAAGAGAUCAUAGGGAUGGUGUUCUGAAGGUAAGCAGCAGCUGCAGCCACUCCACUUCCCAGCUUCACUUGGUAUCCUACAUCUCUGAGUACCAUUUCCACACCACUCAAGCAACCAAGCAAUUGCAACUGCAAAACUCGAAAAGAGGAUGGUCAGCAAAACACAGUAACAACUGGCUGCAUUACCUACCUAUAGAGCACAAACUUCUGGUAUGAAACUGUUCUACCCAUGAAAGUGUAUACAAGUUCACAUGAAAGCAAUGCAACAGAGUAGGGAAAACUACAAUGGAAAACAAUCUAUGCGCAAGAUCAUUAAAUGGUGGAUUUUAGAGGACAAUGCAAUCUGUCCCAAUAAUAAGAUUUUGUUGCCAGUAAAAGUACAUGAAUUUUUAUCUUAGCAUUAUUUUUAAUCAACUAAAUCCAUCAUAUUUUCUACUAAUAAUAAUUAUUGGUUUUUUUUGGUGAAUUCUUUUAGCAGAAUCUUUUGUGUGAGUUUUCCUCUUUAUCUUACUCUUCCCUUUCGAAUCAUCCAAUUUUUAGUAAUGGAUCAACCGUAUAGGCUACUUUGCCUUCCCACUCAUUUUUUUCUUGGAUACUUGACCUUGAUUCCUUGCUCUGAACUACAUAAUCUUUGCAAGAUGCUUGAACUAGUUAUAAUUGGAAUAAACAAUUACUUCAUGCAAAUUAGUGGCAUUGACCUGCAGCAUGUGAUAAAACAAUAUUUUUUAGUUUUCAUCACAGAAUAACAGAUGUUAGUCGGGAUUCAAUUUGCCUUAGAUACUAACUUUAGCAUAUUAUUGACAUCCCCCUGAUAAAAUGAAUGACAUGCUACAAUAUCUAGUUCACAGCAACAUGCAAACACCACAACCCUUAUGCUUAUGAUGAAGCAGAUAGUAACAAGAUACACAAUAUAAUGUUAUUUAGAUCACCUAUUUGCAUACCAAUUCUAACAUAGUUUUCAAAUUAUUCACACUCACUCUCUUUAGUUCAACUUUAUAAAUUCAGCAGCUAACUAUUCAAUCCUACCUGAUAUAAUCAGUAACUAUGGUUUAGCUGUAAAGUAAUCUGCAAUUCCAAACUAACAGCUAUCAUAUGAUAUGAUAUAAUGUAGCACAUUAAUGAUGGACCUUGAGGCAUCAUUAGUCUAACACAAUUACAUGGCUAAAGAAAUUCUCAGCCUAGACAUGAUGUUAUAUGCUAAAGAGAACUAUUUUAGUUCACAACUUCCAUGCAACAUUUUGAACCCUAAAUCAUCCAAAUAAACCAUCAGUUUAGUGUAAAGAUAGUCUCCUUUAGCAUCUGAAACUGUUAGAUGAAUUUUCAAGUCCAUAAAGUACAAGAAUGAUAUCAAGUAUCAUGAUUGCACCUAACCUUAUCUUUUGAUUGAUCAUAGCUCACUUCUAAUUGACAUAUGAACUAUUACAAUGAAUAACACUCAGUUUAGUUCACUUGAAGAUAACUAACACAAGAUAUUUCAAUCAGAAAUAAAGAUGUAGGAGCAAGUUUGACACGAGCAGCGAAGCUAACCAUUGAUAAAGUGAAUGACAGGUAAAACUGAUCUGAAGCCUAGAUCUCAAGUGUCGGUUUAGGCCAUAACUCAAUUAACUUACUUAACUCACAGUGGAAUAGUUAGCAGCAAUGCAAAUGCAAGAGUCACCUAGGAAAUUUAAUGAAAAAUGUACCUUUCAGAAUCCGAUAUCAGAAAAACACAGUUUUAUUGAAUGUCUUGCGAACAUUUGUGAGAAAUGGAGAUAAAAAUGCAUACAUGCCAGAAAUGAUUAUAUUCAUAUUCGUAAAUUGGUGGCUGCAGAAUAUUCAGGGGAGGCGAAAAUUGAUGAACUUGCUGUUUCUUUAGCACAUAACAAUUGAAAAAAUAUAUAUGUAAAUUCUUCAACCAUAAGAUAGUGAACUAUGUAGUUAUGAAACUGCUAAAGUAAACUACGAAUUCAGUACAAACCCAAAGAUUAGAAUGGAACAAAAUAAGGAAAAUUCAUUAAUUUUCCUAGUUUAAGUCUAGAUCUACCUCCAACAAAUGUUAGAAAGAAAACAAUUGCCUCAUGUUUCAUAAAUUCAGACACAUAUACAAGAUUCUAGUUAGAAGAGAAGCAAUAUUACUAAAUAAAAAAGGGAAGAAAGGAAGCCAUACAUCAUUAAGGUUGCCAAGAUGCCCUAUCCUGAACACCUUUCCUGCCACUUUAUUAAGACCAAGCCCUAAGCUCAGAUUGUAUCGUGUCCACGCUCUCUUCACAACAUCAGAACUGUUAAUAUGAGGUGGAACCAUCACAGCAGUGACAGUAUCACUAAACCAUUCCUCCUUCUGUGUACAGUUCUUCAAGCCCCAAGCCUCUACAGCAAGCCUGCAUUUUCAAAAGAAUGAAAAUUUGCAAUUAUAGUUUAAGAAUGCAGCAACUACCAAGAGUUAAAUUACUGAAUUGAACAAUUCUUUUGGUUUUCUAGUGUUUCCCACAAACACAAAGACUGAAGGUAUUACAGUUGACAGAGAAAAAAUCUUGAGGAAUAAUACAUCAACUGCAACUAUUUGUAUACCUUGUUGCUUUUCCAAGUCGGCUGUGCCUUGCGAUCACAUUGUCAAGGCCUUCCUCAAAUAAAAGAUCCAAAGCAGCUCUGAACCCAUACAGAAGUUGGAUGGAAGGUGUGUAGGGCCAAUAAGUUCCCAUUUUAUAGAACUUCAAGUAGUCAUUCCAGUCAAAGAAAACCCUUACUGAUUUGGCUGACUUAGCAGCUUCAAGUGCUUUAGGACUAGCACAUACAAUUCCCAUGCCAGUAGGCAUCGAAAGAGCUUUUUGUGAUCCUGUCAAAGCAACAUCAACUCCCCAUUCAUCCAUGCGGAAGUCAAUAGCACAUAUAGAUGAAACUCCAUCCACAAGUAAUAAUGCAGGAUGAUUGUGCUCAUCUGCAAAGGCAAAGCUAUAGCAUCAGCAUAAUAUAGACCAUCAAAGAAAGAAACAAUAUGAUCACAAAUUGGACAAAAUGAUAAAAACAAACACGUUAGAAGAAUGUGAGAAAACUCCAACUUGUGAGAAAAAAAGGUAGCAUCCAAGGCAUAUAUGGAAAGAUAGGACAUCGGAAAGUAUAUGUAAUGAAAAUCAAUAAUCGGAGAAUUAAUCUGACGAAAAUUCUUAUACAUACCGAGCAGUUUCCUCACAGUUGCCAGAUUAUUGGUGACUCCAGUUGCUGUCUCAUUGUGAACAAUGCAAACAGCCUUGAUUGAAUGAGACCAAUCAGCUGCUAGUUUAGAUGCCAAUGCAUCAAGAUCGGCACCUCGUCCCCACUCACUUUCUAUUACAUCGACAUUGAAGUUGAGGCGUUGUUGUUGAUCAAUCCAGAGAAGACUAAAUUGACCGAUGAGAAAAGACACAAUCUUAUCACCAGGUGAUAGUGUAUUUGUAAGUGCACUUUCCCAAGCCCCAGUACCUAGUCAAAGAACAGUUAUCAGAAGAAGCUUUAUACAGUGAAUUUCACCCCAGAUCAAAAAGAAGACCACAAAAAUGAAACUGAAGUCAAAAUUUAUGGACAAAAUAACUAUGCUAGAGUUGAAUACAAGUAGGAUAUAAUCAUGGUAAUGAUCUUCGAAGAUAGUUUUGCCUACCUACAACAAUUGGCCAAUAGCACUUAACAAAUAAAGCAAACCAUAUAUCAUGUAGCAAAUCUCAUGAAACAUGUCUUUCUUAGACAUAGAACAGAGAAGAAAACUAUACCUGUUGUUGGUAUCAAGAAGGGGGUACCACUUGUCGUCUUGAAGAUCUUCUUAACGUCCUCAAGAAGUGUCUUUGUUAGUGCAGGCACAGCAGGGGAGCGAUAGUCCUCAUUGUUCCUAUUCAUUGCCCUUAUCACUGGCUCGGGGAUAUUGACAGGCCCUGGAACAAAGAGAUGGUUCCUCCCAGGUGCAUAGAAGAAGUCCAUUUUUCCUUUUGGCAAAACUUCCUGAAUGGCUCUACUCAACAAAGCCCACCUAAAAGAGAAAAUGAAGCAUAUUUAGCUCUUUCUCAUUUCUUAUGCUUCAGUUCACCAAGUGCAAUGUCUGUUCUAGUGAUGCAAGAAAAGAAGAGCAAGCAACAAAUUUUAAUUAUGCAAGGGCAUCACAGAAGAAUAUAGGACAAAGAUUAUGAAGAACAAGUUAACAAAAAGAAGCUUCUUUUCUCUUUUUCUUGGGCUUUUGAUUUCAUUAAGAGAAAGACAAUGUUCUAGGGUAUGUUCUCUUACCAAUUUACUUACAGAAGUUGAGUCAUAGUAUCCAGUGGAAAGAAACAAAUGAACCAAGAAUUGCUUUUAGAGAAAGUUUUCAUUUGUGUAACUUUUUUCCUCUUCCAUUAACUUUUUGAUAAAAUUAACCAUUUUUAUAAGAACUGCAGUAGAUGUGAGUUAUGAAAUGAAGCUCAGGUAUCUAGGACAAUCACAACUUAACGAGAAAUUCAUCAAUCAAGACGGAAAAAGAUUCCUCCAAGUAUGAACCUACUGAUAGACAUGAAAAGAUUUUCCUACUUCAUUGAUGAGCUUAUCACAUAUAAAAGUUAUAUUAAUGUCGAUAUGCUUGCUGUUUACUAGUCUAUAUAUUUUUGCAUGUAGACAAUAGAACAUAUAACUAAUACCAAAUGACAUAUGUGGACAAAGGAAUACAUAACUUUGCAACAACAUCAAUAUCAGACUCCAUGAAGCAACAAAGAUUUUUUUUCUGGAUAAAGAAAUUUAUUUUCACAACCUUAAAUUCAUUUCGUCAUUCAAUUUUUUACAAAUAUUAACUAUUGUACUAACAUUUAGCUUUGAUAUUCACAUCAUGCACAAACAAGAGAAAUAUAUGCUGCAAACAUCUGUGACAGAUUAAGAAAUUAAGCUGGACUCAAUCCACACUCAUCAAGCCAAAACAGAUAACUAAAUCCCUUAGAUUUGAGAUUUAGGAAAUGAUACUAUCAGCUCCAUCCAAGAUAAGCUAUCUUAGUAUGAGAAGGUAUACGUAGAGGUGGUGGGUUGUCUAAAGUCUACAGCUGAUAUCAGUGACUCUGUUUUGUCUACAUAAAUGAAUCUAUGCUAUUAUGAUUCCAUUAGGUUGUAUUUCGAGUAAGAAAUGAUUGGAACCUCCAACUCAUCCAAAUCAAGAAUCUUGAACCAGAUUAGCCUACUACUAAUCAGUCAUCAACAUAAGGUUGAAUUAUAAGUCGAAAAUGCCUCACUCAAGACUGCUCUGCUGGAUUUAAUCAUGGUUGAAGGAAUUAAUAUUAGGUCUAAUCUCAUCCAAACUUCAACUGCAUCAGUGUUUUCCAAGUUCUAACCUAAACCAAGCAAUGUUGAACUAGUGAGAAUAUACUUAUUAGCCAAAGGCCAAUACACUGAAGUUAUGUAGCCAAUACUCAAGAAGUGAACAAGGAAAAUGAUUUACCCAUGGUGAACCCUUCAACAGAAGUUCUAAACAAGAUUUGGCCGCAGUAAAAUGCUUUUUGCAGUACAGCAUCGGCUCUCACCAAGAUGACAUGAAUUUGAUAUGAUUAAGAGAACCAGUUUACCAGUUAAAACAACAGCUUAAUACGGUGAGAUGCAGAAAUGAAAAUUAAAGCUAAAACCAAACACAGACUUGUGGAGUUCCAAAAGAAUUCCUCUUCUGUGUGUGUUGUGUGUGGAUUACCAUAGACAGAUAGAUAGAGAGAGAGAGAGUGUCUGUGCGCGU